GGCUCAUUGGCGAUGAGGUCAGCGCGUUUAACUGUUACUGGGGAGUCUGGGGUUCGAUUCCCUGCUCGGGUA